UACGUAGGGAGCAAGCGUUGUCCGGAAUCAUUGGGCGUAAAGCGCGCGUAGGUGGCCACAUAAGUCCGUUGUGAAAGUCAAAGGCUCAACCUUUGAAAGCCGAUGGAUACUGUGUGGCUAGAGUACGGAAGAGGCGAGUGGAAUUCCUGGUGUAGCGGUGGAAUGCGCAGAUAUCAGGAGGAACACCGGUGGCGAAGGCGGGUCUCUGGGCCGAUACUGACGCUGGAGGAGCGAAAGCGUGGGGAGCGAACAGG
rnacentral:rRNA from 1 species